rnacentral:siRNA from 1 species
GUACAAAGUGCCUGAUUUUUUGUA